AACGAACGCUCUCGGCAUGCCUAACACAUGCAAGUCGAACGAGACCUUCGGGUCUAGUGGCGCACGGGUGCGUAACGCGUGGGAACCUGCCCUUAGGUUCGGAAUAACUCCCCGAAAGGGGUGCUAAUACCGGAUAAUGUCUUCGGACCAAAGAUUUAUCGCCUUUGGAUGGGCCCGCGUUGGAUUAGCUAGUUGGUAGGGUAAAAGCCUACCAAGGCGACGAUCCAUAGCUGGUCUGAGAGGAUGAUCAGCCACACUGGGACUGAGACACGGCCCAGACUCCUACGGGAGGCAGCAGUGGGGAAUAUUGGACAAUGGGCGAAAGCCUGAUCCAGCAAUGCCGCGUGAGUGAUGAAGGCCUUAGGGUUGUAAAGCUCUUUUACCCGGGAUGAUAAUGACAGUACCGGGAGAAUAAGCGCCGGCUAACUCCGUG
rnacentral:rRNA from 1 species